AACGAACGCUGGCGGCAUGCCUAACACAUGCAAGUCGAACGGAACCUUCGGGUCUAGUGGCGCACGUCUGCGUAACGCGUGGUGACCUGCCCUUAGGUUCGGAAUAACUCCCCGAAAGGUGUGCUAAUACCGGAUAAUGUCUUCCGACCAAGGAUUUAUCGCCUUUGGAUGGGGCCGCGUUGGAUUAGCUAGUUGGUAGGGUAAAAGCCUACCAAGGCGACGAUCCAUAGCUGGUCUGAGAGGAUGAUCAGCCACACUGGGACUGAGACACGGCCCAGACUCCUACGGGAGGGAGCAGUGGGGAAUAUUGGACGAUGGGCGAAAGCCUGAUCCAGCAAUGCCGCGUGAGUGGUGAAGGCGUUAGGGUUGUAAAGCUCUUUUACACGAGAUGAUAAUGACAGUACCGGGAGAAUAAGCUCCGGCUAACUCCGUG
rnacentral:rRNA from 1 species